GCAGUCGGGGCCGAGCGGUUCAGGCGAUGGGCUAGAAAUCCAUUGGGGUCUCUGCGCACAGGCUCGAAUCCUAUCGACUGCG
rfam:Ixodes scapularis strain Wikel colony gcontig_1107728574182, whole genome shotgun sequence.